rnacentral:rRNA from 1 species
GUCCACGCCGUAAACUAUGAUUACUCGUUAUUGGCGAUAUACGGUCAGUGACUAAGCGAAAGUGAUAAGUAAUCCACCUGGGGGAGUACGAUCGCAAGGUUGAAACUCAAAGGAAUUGACGGGGGCCCGCACAAGCGGUGGAGCAUGUGGUUUAAUUCGAUGAUACGCGAGGAACCUUACCAGGGCUUGAAAGUGAGAGGAAUUAAGUGGAAACAUUUAAGUCUUCGGACCUCUUACUAGGUGCUGCAUGGCUGUCGU